rnacentral:rRNA from 1 species
CCUACGGGAGGCAGCAGUGAGGAAUAUUGGGCAAUGGACGAGAGUCUGAACCAGCAAAGUAGCGUGAAGGAUGACGGCCCUAGGGGUGGUAAACUUCUUUUAUAAAGGAAUAAAACGAGGCACGUGUGCCUUUUUGCAUGUACUUUAUGAAUAAGGAUCGGCUAACUCCGUGCCAGCAGCCGCGGUAAUACGGAGGAUCCGAGCGUUAUCCGGAUUUAUUGGGUUUAAAGGGAGCGUAGAUGGGUUGUUAAGUCAGUUGUGAAAGUUUGCGGCUCAACCGUAAAAUUGCAAUUGAUACUGGCAGUCUUGAGUACAGUUGAGGUAGGCGGAAUUCGUGGUGUAGCGGUGACAUGCUUAGAUAUCACGAAGAACCCCGAUUGCGAAGGCAGCUUACUAAACUGUGACUGACAUUGAUGCUCGAAAGUGUGGGUAUCAAACAGGAUUAGAUACCCCAGUAGUC